AAGGUACUUUGCAAUUACAGAUUUUCGAUACAAAUCCUUUUGAAACUUGCUGAUACUAUUCACCUCAUAAUCUGAAAUUUACAACAUUUCAUCACAGAUCCAAGUUCUUAAUCUCAUACAAAAUUGCAUAUAGCUCUUCACUCGUACAUGACUACAUCAAGGAUCAGUUCUUGUGAUUACUCAGAUUCAACAAAAUUAUACACAUCAACAACUCUCUGGAGAUACGAACCUGUGAGAUAAUCCAAGCUUGAUCCAUACGCUUGGCGAAAUUUGAAGAACUCUCAGGUGAAUCCACCGCCGAAGCCUUGACGGUAGUAGUAGCUGGAAAACGGCGAACGACUGGUACGAAACCUAGCUUCGUUAUCCUAGGAGAAUUCCAUGGAUUUAGAAUCGAUUUCGCUACGAGAUGUGAAUCGCAACACAUGCAAAUCGUCAUUUUCUCUUCUUCUUCUUCUUCUUCGCCGAGAAGGUUGAAAUCGGAGGUUUAAAUUUGUCUUUGGCUUAUUUUUAUUUUAUUUUAUUUUUCUCGCAUACCAAAUUGGAAGACAACAGGAGGAGGAGAAAAGUCUAGGAAUAACCCAAUUGGGUUAUUGGACCCUGGGCCCAUUAAAGUUGGAUCUUUUUGUUUGCUAAAAUGAUUGAUUCAAUGAUUUAAACCAACUCAUUAUCUCCUCUACAAUUCCUUGGAUUCUUCCUACAGUCAAAACAAAAUCCAGAUUGCUUGUUUGUUUUUGGUUUGCUUAUAUGAUUGAGAAAAUAAUUUUUUUCUAUGUAUAAAUUUACUAGUUUUAAGAUGAUAAUAUAACAUUUUUUUUUGUUCUUACAUAGAUUGUUAAAUAUUUUUAAUUUAACCAAUCAUACACUUUUAUGCAUAUUAAUCGAUUUUCCAAUAUGUUUGCCGCCUUCUUUGUCUAAAUAGAUUCCAUCUUCUCUUGCUCUCCAGUCCCAUAUACCUCCUUCAUCCAUAAAACCAGAAAGCUUGAAUGCUGUAAAUUUCUGAUAAUGUUUAUAGUUAGGUCCUUGUUCCAAAUGACACAUAAAACGCGUCGUACGCCAAAAAUUAAUCAUAAAAUUGAUUUCAACAUGUUUGCCGAUUGGUAUUGUUUUUGGACCAAAUUUGUCAUCUUUGGAAUAACAUCCAAUCCUGAGAAGUUUAUUGAAUUUGAGUUCGUUGGUGAUCCUGAUUCCAGAGCCGAAUACAUGGUCAAGCAUGCAAAAACUAAAAACGAAUAAAAAAGACUAAACAGUUUUUCAUUUUUUUUGGGUAGAUAUUUAGAUUUUUGCUUUGUUAUUGGCUUUUGUGUUUCAGAUUUUAUAUAUGCACACAUUUGUAUUACUAUUGUUGGCAUAGUAUGUAAAAUGGCAUAAUAUCUUAUAAUAAUCAUAUUAGAUAUACAUAAAUCUAUUAAUAUUGAAUUAUGAAAAAAAUGAUAAAAUCAAGUAACCAGUUGUAGAUAAUAUUAAACCUUAUGUGAAAGAUCAAAUGAUAACUAAGAAAUUCAAUUGUGCAUAAAAAAAUCCUCAAUAAUAAACUGGUUAUUCUAUAAAUCAUAUCAUACUAUCUAUGUAACCUAUUAGUAAAUAAAGUAUUUGUUUUUAAAAGUAAUAGACAAUUUGUAAAGUACAAUAAACAACUAAGUAGAGAAAGACAAACUAAAUUAGGUUUAUACAUUUUGUUCUUGUAAUAACGUUCUUGUGAUUACUCAAAUUCAACAAACUCAACAACUCUCGAAAGAUACGAACCUGUGAGAUUAUCCAAGCUUGAUCCAUAUGCUUGGUGAAAUUUAAAGAACUCUCAGGUGAAUCCACCGCCGAAGCCUUGAAAGUAGUAGUAGUCGGAAAACGGCAAACGACCAGUACAAACCCUAGUUUCGUUCUACUCCGCAAAUUCCAUGGAUUCAUAAUCGAUUUUUUUACAAGAUGUGAAUCGCAACACAUGCAAAUCGCCAUUUCCUUCUUCUUCUUCUUGGCCGAAAAGGUUGAAUUCGGAUUUUAAUCUACUCGGGCCUCUCGGGUUAAAACAUUC
rnacentral:lncRNA from 1 species